GGGGUUGUAGCUCAGUGGUAGAGUACUCGCCUAGCAUGUGUAAGGCACUGGUUUUGAUCCUUAGCACCACAUAUAAUUAAAUAAAAUAAAGCUAUUGUGUUUAUCUACAACUAAAAAAUAUAUUAAUAAAAAGACUGAUGAUGGAGCUCAGUGGCAGAGUGCUUGUCAUGCAUGAGGCCCCGAAUUCAAUCCCA
rnacentral:tRNA from 1 species